GAUGAACGCUGGCGGUAUGCUUAACACAUGCAAGUCGAACGGACUCUUCGGAGUUAGUGGCGGACGGGUGAGUAACGCGUGAGAAUCUGGCUUUGGGUUCGGGACAACCACUGGAAACGGUGGCUAAUACCGGAUGUGCCGAGAGGUAAAAGAGAAAUUGCCUGAAGAUGAGCUCGCGUCUGAUUAGCUAGUUGGUGAGGUAAAGGCUCACCAAGGCAGCGAUCAGUAGCUGGUCUGAGAGGAUGACCGGCCACACUGGGACUGAGACACGGCCCAGACUCAUCGGGGGGGCAGCGGUGGGGAAUUUCCGGGAAAGGGCGAGAGACUGACGAAGCAAUACGGCGUGAGAGAAGAAGGUUCUUGGGUUGAAAACCUCUUUUCUUAGGGAAGAACAAAAUGACGGUACCUAAGGAAAAAGCAACGGCUAACUACGUG
rnacentral:rRNA from 1 species